GAGGAAAGUCCGGGCUCUAUUUAUAAAAAUAUAGUUGUAUAAAAUACAGUGUAGGUAACUAUGAGGAUAGUGCCACAGAAAUAUACCGCUUUAUAAUAUAUAUAAGGUAAGGGUGCAAUGGUUCGGUAAAAGCGUACCAGAAAUAUUUUUAAGAUGUUUGCUAGGUAAACCCCAUAUAAGAGCAAAGUAGUUAAGAUAUUCCAAAGUGUAAAAUUUUUAUAAAUUUUAUAUAUUUUUUUUAAUUACAUAUACUGCAUGAAGUAUUUUAGUUUACUCUAGAUUAAUAAUUACCCUUUUUAAUUAUAUAAUGAUAAUAUUAAAAAGAACAAAACCCGGCUUAU
rnacentral:RNase_P_RNA from 1 species